CCCAGACUCCCACGCAGGGCCUGAACCCAGGAACCAUGAGAUCAUGACCUGAGCCAAAGCUGGCCAUUUAACCACCCAUGUGUUCCAAAAGAAUAAUAAUUUUAAGUUAUUUUCCCAUUUCUAAGAAAUUAAUGAUGAGAUUGUUAAAUCCUUCAAGAACAAUCACAUUUUACUGACCAUGGGCAUCAAAUAAAGACUGCACACAAGAAACCUGGAAGAAGCUGGUGUUAACUUAUGAUGAGCACCGUCAUUGUAGUGAAAUAUGACUUGUUCAUUGUAACAGAGUGAGAGAGCUUGAUAAAAAUCCGUGAAUAAAACACAAUCCUAACACAUGGUGAUUUUAACGUCAAAGUCUAACAUUUAUUCAGUUAAAUAGCCUUUAUCCCUCUAAUGUAUGCAUUGUCCCUCUAUUACUGUAUUUCUUGGCUGUUCCUCUACCGGCACAGUGAAAGGGAGACUCAGGCCAUUUACAUGGUUACUUCUGCUUUGAAAGAUUACAGGUAAAAUUCAUCUUAGUGGAGAUCUUCAGGGGCUCAGUCAGCCAUUUGGGUAUAUCCUACAACAGACUGAAGAUAAUUGCUUGAAAACAAGUACAUUUUUUUCCGUUAGUUAUCUUUUAUGGCACACUGUGUGUAAAAGCUAUACAGUUCGCCUUUGAGGCAGGGGUCUAGGUUUGGCUUCUUCUCUUUCCAUAAAGGAUAGAAACUGAAUAAUUGCUCCUUCUCUCAAAUCCUAAUGUGAAGGAUGAUCCCUCAGCAAAUAAAUUAAGGAUCUGGACUUCCAAAUCUCCCUGUUCUCCUAAAUUCUGCCUCCAGACUCCACACUCUCUAUGGAGAAGGUAGUCUUGAAUUGCCUGCCUCCAGUCCCUUUUCCCAAAGCCCUGGUGAUGAAAUAGCUAUCUGGGAGAUCAUUGGUAGCAAUUUCCUGGCCAUUUAAUGUUCCACCCAUUUAUCAGGCAGGGCAACUGAAAACAGGUUCCACUUAGGCCACUGUGUCUCCACCCCAUUCAGAAUUAUUUUUUCCCCAAGCUCUACUAGCACAUUUUCAGUUUUUAACUGAAAGAUACUAUGAAACUACCUGCACAGUUUCUGCAUGCCAUCUUUGUUUUGGGUGAUAUUUACUACAUAGGCUAGAAGACAGUGCAAAAUCUCAACCUGAGAAAAUUUUCAGAGUUAGCAUUAAGAAUUUUUUUUUGGAUGAAAUAACUUUUUUCUUCUAUCUAAUGAUAAUGCUAUUUAUUUAGGAUAAAGAUGCCUUUGGGUGUCUCUAGAGGAAAGCAAGAUGGCUUUCUACUAAAAUUCUCGCAGAGCUGUCAGUAUUCUGGAGUUGACCAGACUCAGUGAGGCCAGCACACUCUGAUCAACCUUCUACAAGUCUGACUCCUAAUCCGCCCUCUAUCUGAGGUCUGCACUUUCUGCCAUCCUUAAGUUUCCUUAGGAAACCUAAGAAGCAGAGGGAAGAGAGAUGGACAAUAUUAAGAAAAAUUUCUUAUAGGACCUGAUGCCAGUACUGUGGCUAAAAAACAUGCAUCUCUUUUUAUUUUAUGGCCAAAUGUUCCCUCUCUCUUUCCAGGAUGGUACUGGAUAGAACUGUGCCAGAUUUUGUGGCAUUUGUCUUCUCUUAACUUGGUGUGAGAGGAACAUCCCCUUAUUAGUUAGAGAGUACUUCUCCAGGGUCAAUAAAACAUAGUUGUUUAGGAUUUCUUUUACCAUAUAGAUUUGCCUCAUCAUGUGAAAUUUCAGUUCACUUUAGCUGAGGUUUUAGAUAUUCCAAAGUCUUCUGUGUAUAAAAACCUCCACAGAUAUAUAUGGACAUACAUACAUAUUUUGCUGUGGACAGAUCACACUGACUGUUAUGGAUUUUAUUAAUAACACUCAGAAGGCAAACUUCUUUCAAAAUUGAGGUGUUGUUAAGUUUACAUCAAUAUUUUACUCAUUGCUACCAAAAAGUCAUUUUAUCUUGUUUUGUUUCCACUCCCAAAAACAAAAUAAAAAACUGUAAGGAAUUAAGGAUAGACCAUGGAACUACAUAGUUCCUUAGAGCUUCCAUAUUCAUGAUAUUUAUCCCAAUUUGACCUUAAAUUCUUAGUUAUUAGUUACAUUUCUAGAAAUAUAAUCUCACUUUUUACUUUCAUCUUUUUACUGCUUUUAUAUUUGUGAGUCAUUUCCAAUCCUUUGUGCACAGAGGUUAGGUUAAGAACAUAAUAAAGGCAAGCACACCAAUAAACUAGCCAUUUUUCCAGCCCCUCUAUUUGGGAUGUGGAUUUUUCUGUUUUGUUGAGUAAAACCAGAAAUCCCCACUUAUACAAAUCUUUUGUUGGUAAAAGAAGAGAUAUCACAACUUUUAUAGUAAAAUAUAAUUUAAAUUUGAAUGAAAUUAUUAGAAGUUAAAUUCUGUUCUCUAGAAUGAUCAGGGAAUGGAGGAAUAUGGUAACUAUUUUGUUUAACUGAGAGUUGUCUUGAAUUAUAAGCAUAAAUCACAUACACAUACAUAUAUAGAGGGUAUAUAUAAUGCAUGUAUGUGUGUGUACAUAAUAGAAGUAGAUCCUCCACUAAGAUCUAUACUGACUUUUACAGUUACUCCAGGUAAUCAAGACAUUGGCUAGAGCUGGGAAGGAACCAAUCUUCUGAACUUUUAUAUUCUGGUUUCAAUUCCAAAUAAUUUGAGGUUCAUUAUAUUAAGCACAGAUGCAUAUGAUAUGCUAUGUUCUACACAAAAUGAGCAAAUAAAACAGCUAUGUUGUGUGGGUCUACAUAGAUAGAAAUUUUUCUACUCAUUUUGUUAUCAGUUAGACAUAAAGUAAGAAUGCUUUCUUAUGACUCAUGUCAAGUUCCUCUUGCUCUUCCAUUUCCCUCAGGUCUCAAGUUUCAGACUGUACCGAAGAGCUUCUUGAAGGAAGCAUUAGGAAUAGAUAAUUUAUCACAUUCUUUCCCAAGUAUGAAUCUGAGAAACAGGGCAGGGGCUGAUGACCUAAUACUGUUAACAAGAACACCAUUACACAUUUGAUCUCAUUUUUCCCCCUCUAUCAAAGAAACUGGGGAGGGGAUCUUAUUCCAACAGUAAAGAAUAAAUGCAUGUUUUGGGGAGGAUUUGUAUACAUUGCCCCCACAGAGGUGGUUUGAUGUUGUUGUUUUUCCUGGAAGCCUGCAAUCAAGACACAAAAAUGCACAGUGAACAGUGUAGAUGAGCAAGUUAGUGUCAUUAAGUAUAUAUUUUGAUACAGUUUAAUUUUGGAAAUAAUUUUAUGGAUACUAUAAUUAAAUUACAACUGAAAUAAAUUACAUUGAAGAUGCAAAGAACUUUAAAAAUAUAGAUGUGAUCAGCUAUUUGAGAAAGGAAUGAGUCCAAUUAAAACUGAAUGACAAAAUAUGAUGGCAGAUCUCAUCUUCAUGAUCUAUUCUGAAGCCAUUCUGACCACUAAGGACCAAUGAACACUGGUUCAGCAUCCAGUGUAUUUGAGCCUUGAGUAGCUGUUGAGAUAAAACAAUUCAGCAUCAUUAGGUACGUGUAAAAACCAGUGGUCUGUGUCUGGAGGUCAUCCAAGGCAAAUCAAAGGAAGAAAUCUUCAGAUGUUGAGGAGAUAAGGAAGAAAGAACACACUAAGGAUGUAUGGUGUUGAUUUUAAACUGAAGAGAAACAAACCAGGCUAAGUCAUGCCACAGAUAGAUUACACAUCCUGAAAAUGAAACACAAUAUGCAGAACUACAAUUGGCGGUAUCUGAAUCCGUGUUGGUGGUGGAACAAUUUAGAGAACAACAGACAGAGGUUAUACUCUGCAGGUUUCAGGAGAACUGACCCAAGCUGUGACUUGAUGGUCCUCUGAUGUCCCCUCUUCUGUAUGCAAUGUCUGAUAGAUUCCAUUACCCUUGGUUAACCGCAGCCGCCGCUGGAGCCAGAUGACCCUCUUUCUGUGGAAUCUGCGGACGGUCAACAGAGCCUGAGGAUGGGGUACGUCCCACCCUGCGUCACUCACUUCGCCGCGUCUCGUCGGCUUUUUCUCAUCUCAUGGCAUCACAAGAAGGACGAGUUCCAGCAGUACAAGAAGAUGUUUUGAGAGAGAGGGAGACCACACUCACAAAUUUCUGCUAUGGUGUGUUGUUGAAAUCAUUUGUGUUGUUAAUUUCUUACUGUGCCUAAUGUGUAAAGUAAACUUUAUCAUGGAGGUAUAUGCAUAGGAGAAAAGAUGGUAUCUUAAGGUUCAGUACUAUCUGCUGUUUCAGGUGUCCACUGUUUUGAGUUUUGGAAUGUAUUUCUAAUGAAUAAGAGGGGCAACUACUGUACCUGCAUAAUUUGGAGCAUGGGAGUGAAGAGGGGUCUGUUUUUCCGCACGUUGGGACAGUUCCAUCCAUGGGUAUCAGGCUCCAUGUGUGCACUGGUAGCUAGAGUCUGCCGUUUGGAAACACAGGACCCUUGUCUGGCAUCUUAUUCCUGAGGCCCUUGCCUGUCAGUCAGCCUUCAGCCACCUGGGUUCUUGCCAUUGUGUUUUUGUUCCUUGUAAUAAAGUGGAUUUUCUUUCUUUGCGAAUGAGCAUAAAGAUACCCAGAAAAUAAACCAGGUGCCCAUUUGCCAGACUCCAGCCAGCAAGCAUGCAGAUGAAGCCUCUCGGCCACUCCUGUAGGUUUCCCAAGAGGAAAAUGCUGCUGCUGACAUGAAUAGCAGAGGCCAGACAAUGAUUCUUAGGGAAGAUAAACAGGCUUGCGAUCCCCUCCUGACUGCUCCGCUCCUCUCCUCAAUGACUGAUCCUGGAGCAAAAGGUCAUGGGGAUAAUUCUGCACCUGCAGCCUGGGAAGGCCAGGCUCAGUCCUUGCAAAGAGCUCCCCCAUUAUUGAUGCUAAUUAUUAUUGAGCCAAAUGCACCCUUUUAUCACGGGCAGGUGGGAGACUCUUGUCACUGUCAGGGCAAUUCUUCCAAGAGCAAGUAUAGAAUUCCUUGCACAGAUGUACAUAUACCCAAGAAGCCCCAAGUGUUACAUAUAGGCUGCUGCUAGAGAAUACAUCAUUAAACAUUUCUACAGUUUCUAUAAUGAAAUGAUCAGGACUCAGGUGAACGGCAAAUGCUGCCCAGGACCCAACGCCAGAUUAUUGAGAGGAGAAGCAUGAUUUAUUCAUUAGGGCUUGAACUCGACUGCUGGGCCUCUGGGCCGCUUGUGAGAUUUCGCCCCUGCCAUCUGCACUCUGAGACACUUAACAACAACUUUGGAGACCUCGGAACCCUCUGGGGAUUUGCUUCCAUGGACAUCCAUCUGCUUUCUGGUGACUUUAAUGCGAGGACAGGCCCACUGAGGAGAAUGAAGAACAGAGGAAAUGAAAGGAAAUUCACCCAGCUGUAGGAAUUCCUCAAAAUUUCCCAGGAGCUGGUCGCAUUCUUUCUGUUUGUCACUGUUGCUGUGGAUUUGUUCCUUUUAAGAAGAUCUAAAGAUGUUUUUUUAGCAUGAGACAGAGUGGCAGAACUCAUGACUGAAUCACAUAAAUCUUAACAUUCUAUGCUCAGAGAAGAGGUAGGUCAAUAUAGUAAUUCGUCUGUCAUAUUGCUGCAUUAGAAGUCAGUUAUACUUCAGUUACACACACUGGCGCGUGCACACACACACACACACACACACAUUUCAUGGAAUUAGAUUAAAAGCAGAAAUGACCAGACUAAAUAGCUUACUCAUGGAAAAGGGAAAAUUCACUUAACCGUUGCGGAAGUGACACUUUCUGAUUUUGAACCGAGAUCACUGGUGCCACCUUGGCUCCUGCUCUGGGAGAGCUCCCAGUAUGAGUGACGCUGUGGCUGGUGCUGCAGGCUCUGGUAGAAGGGUCUCCAGGGCAAUGGAAUCCCAUGGCAACGGGCAGAUAAAAAUGACUCAGCCUUCUGCUGCCAAAGCCUUUUGCCAGGCUGUGAAGAGUGAGGAUGUAUGAACUAUGAUUAGUCCUUGGUAUUAAUAGCUGGGAAAUGUGCUACUCAACUGUAAAUGCGAUCUGUUUAACCUGGAUAUUCACUGGUCUUUAUUCUUUGUCCCUAUUAGCCAACCAUUGCCAUCCUUUACCAACCAUCUCAGAGAUAGUGUGUGGAUCUGUGAAUUAAGAUCUAGUCACUGCAAUUACAGAUUAUUGUUAAAAUCGAAUAAUAUGGCAUGUCAUAUUCAGAAAGAAGUGAGGUCAUUAUCUAAAACUUUCCUAAUUUCUCAGAUUUGGAAGGGACACCUUCCUGUUUUAAAUACUGAACAAUAGAAAAUAGUUAUUAGCUUUUGAUAACACCAGAAAAUUUGUGUUUCUACUUUGUAAUCUAUUCCUCAGUGGGAGUAAUAUUUGACUCGAGUGUUCUGAAACUGAAUUAUUUUGAUUCAAUUCUUAGAAUUUAUUUAUAAAACAUCACAUAUUAAUAGUAUUCCUUUUGUCUCUAUCAUCCUUUUUCUGAAAAUAAUUGACAUUGUAAAAGCUAUCUUUAAGUGACAAUAACUGAAGAAAUCUCAGAGUUCCUAUUCUAUAAUUCAGAUCAGUAUGAUUACACUAUUUUUGAGAUGAGUUCUACACAAAACAUGAUAGAUUCUGGAAAUGUGUCAUUUAAUUAAGUCAGGUCUAAUUAGGAUAGUAUCUCUGUACAAACUAGGGUGCCCAAGACCUCUAGCACCGCCCUCUGGUGGCAGGCUUUGCUCAUGCAGUCUCACAGGUGUGGUUGAUUGCUGCUGCUUUGUCAAGGUCAGUUGAGUUGAGCUGUUAGAAUGGAGAGGGAGGGAGGCAAACCAUAAGAGACUCUUAAAUACUGAGAACAAACCGAAGG